rnacentral:rRNA from 1 species
GGUAAGGUCGUGCAAGGAGGAGGGGUAAUGCGAAGUGGGUGUGUGUGUGUAGGAAUGACUGGGCUUAAAGGGGGUGGUAGGGGCUUUUUAAGUCAGGGGGGAAAUCCUUGGGCUCAACCCAAGAACUGACUUUGAAACUGUAAAGCUGGAGUGUCGGAGGGGAUAGCGGAAUUCCUAAUGGAGUGGUGAAAUACGUAGAUAUUAGGAGGAACACCGGUGGCGAAGGCGGCUAUCUGGACGACAACUGACGCUGAGGCGCGAAAGCGCGGGGAUCAAACAGGAUUAGAUACCCGAGUAGUC